rnacentral:rRNA from 1 species
UUCGCAAUGCCCGAAGGGUGACGAGGGAAAUCUGAGUGAUAUCGCACUGCGAUAUCUUUUGUACACUGUAAAUAGGUGUGCGAAUAAGGGGUGGGUAAGACGGUUG